rnacentral:lncRNA from 1 species
CCCCACCCUAUUUAAUUUUUAAAAUUUAUAUUUAAAAUUUUAAAUUUAAAUUUUUAAAUUUUAAAUUUAUAACUUUAUAUUUUUAAAUUUAGAUUUAAUCUUACAUUUAAAAUUUAAAAUUUUUAAAUUUAAAUUUUGAAUUUUUAAAAUUGCAGAGUUAUAUAUUUAAAUUAAAAAAUUUAGAUAUAAAAUUUUAAAUUUUAAAUUUAAAUAUAAUAUAAAGAAGGAUAUCUUUAUUUUUUAUUUAUAAACUACCUACUAUUCUUUUUAUAGCAUUUUAUCUAUUCAAAGAUUCCAAACAUUAUUUUUUUAAUUCCCGAAAAUAACUCAAUUUUUAUCCAAACGCAAUAUUAAUCUAAUUUUUGCUUAUACCUGAACUCAAACCUAUCCGUGAAAUAGAUAAUUUUUACUUAUACCCAAACCAAAAGGACAAGCUCAU